UGAAUACGAGACGCUAAGGCGUCGAAGUAGUGUAUGUCAUACUUCCAAGAAAAGCUUGCACUGUCAUAGAUAAAAAACGCCUGUACCAUAACCGACACAGGUGGGUAGGUAGAGUAUACUAAGGGCGCGAGAUAACUCUCUCUAAGGAACUCGGCAAAAUAACUCCGUAACUUCGGGAGAAGGAGUGCCUUAUUCGUAAGGUUGCAAUAACAAGAUCCAAGCAACUGUUUAUCAAAAACACAGGUCUCCGCUAAGUCGUAAGACGAUGUAUGGGGGCUGACGCCUGCCCAGUGCCAGAAGGUUAAAGAAGUUGGUUAGCAAUUGCGAAGCUGAUAACUGAAGCCCUGGUGAACGGCGGCCGUAACUAUAACGGUCCUAAGGUAGCGAAAUUCCUUGUCGGGUAAGUUCCGACCCGCACGAAAGGCGUAAUGAUUUGGAUACUGUCUCGGAGAGGGGCUCGGUGAAAUAGACUUGUCUGUGAAGAUGCGGACUACCUGCACCAGGACAGAAAGACCCUAUGAAGCUUUACUGUAACUUGAAAUUGAAAUUGGACUUUAUUCGCGCAGUAUAGGUGGGAGGCGUUGAUUAUAAUCUUGUGGGAUUAUUGGAGCCAUCAGUGAGAUACCACUCUUGUAAUGUUAGAUUUCUAACUUUGAAUCAUUAUCUGGUCAAAGAACAGUUUCAGGCGGGCAGUUUGACUGGGGCGGUCGCCUCCUAAACGGUAACGGAGGCGUACAAAGGUUUCCUCUGAACGGUUAGAAAUCGUAUCUAGAGUGUAAAGGCAUAAGGAAGCUUGACUGUGAGACCUACAAGUCGAGCAGGGACGAAAGUCGGUCUUAGUGAUCUGACGGUACUGAGUGGAAAGGCCGUCACUCAACGGAUAAAAGUUACUCUAGGAUAACAGGCUGAUCUCCCCCAAGAGUUCACAUCGACGGGGAGGUUUGGUACCUCGAUGCCGGCUCAUCGCAUCCUGGGGCGGUAGUACGUCCCAAGGGUUGGGCUGUUCGCCCAUGAAAGCGGUACGCGAGCUGGGUUCAGAACGUCGUGAGACAGUUCGGUCCAUAUCCGGUGUAGGCGUUAGAAUAUUGAGAGGAGCCUUCUUUAGUACGAGAGGACCGAGAAGGACAUACCUCUGGUGUACCAGUUAUCGUGCCAACGGUAAACGCUGGGUAGCUAUGUAUGGAGUGGAUAACCGCUGAAAGCAUCUAAGUGGGAAGCCCACCUCAAGAUAAGUAUUCUC
rnacentral:rRNA from 1 species